ACCCGUGGCGGCGGGUAUAAAUAGCCAGUUAAGCCGCCAGCGCUCCCAGGGUGUAAAGCCCUGGGAAGUCUGG
rnacentral:ribozyme from 1 species